rnacentral:lncRNA from 1 species
ACUAUACUACCGGUGCAUCUUCAUCUUCUUUUUUAUUAACAAUUCUUUAAUUUCUCUCAUCAAUUUGUAUUCUUAUUCUUCUUGAAUCAAAACUAUAAAAUUUUCUCUUCAUCUUCUUGAAGUCCUGUAUUUGAAAAAACGCAGAUAUAGAUGAAACUGCAGAUCUGGUGAAACCAUCUUCUUGUUAUUAUGAAUCGGUGGAUUUUAUCUACCCUUCAUUCAUCUUGCUUCUGAUUUUUUUUUCUUUCUUUUCUAUAUAUUUGGUAGUUUGAAACCUAUGAAUCCGGUGACCAAACGAACGUUUUGUCCUGAUUUAUUAAAAAAAAAACCGG